AGGCUGAAACUCGCCUCUUUGAAGUCGGAAUCGCUAGUAAUCGCAGAUCAGCAUGUUGCGGUGAAUACGUUUCCUGGUCUUGUACACACCGCCCGUCAAACCAUGAGAGUCGCCAACACCCGAAGUCCGCUUUGCGGCCUAAGGUGGGAGAGAUGAUUGGGGUUAAGUCGUAACAAGGUACC
rnacentral:rRNA from 1 species